AAAACUUGCCAUCUCUUGAAACACUGCAAACACAUUAAAAUUAUUGAAAGAAAUGUGAUAAAAAUAUGCUCGAUAUUCUUUCACUGUCGAAAGGAAAGCAUUGUCAAGAAAAACUUACAUGAUAUUUCGCGAGUGCCAUACUCGCGAGGAAAAUUAGGAUAAUGGGGUACGGCUGCAUGAUUCGAAUCUUCUGCGAGAUCUUCUCCACGACUGACACGGACCAAUGUUUCAAUGAUGAUCCAACCCUGCUAGAUCAUAACUCCCACUGACUCUUCUUCCUCUACGUCUCUUCUGGUCUCUUCUUUGGUCUCAUCGUAGUUGGUCCCGCAAAGCGUCGCUGAGAAUCAUUAAGAAACCAUGAAGCCACGAGGCGGGAGAAAGAAUCGCUCUGGAAGAAGUUCUGAGAAUGUGCGUUGUGAUAAAGUCAAAAUCUGCAAUCUUCUAUAAGAAAAUCCUUGGAAUCUCUGCGAAUUUCUAAUCGAGUGAAUUCGAGAGAAUUUCUCGUGGAAUUUCAAACGAAAGUGUCGACCGACCGAUUUUUAAGCGAUGGCCAGGUUUAAAGUCAUCCCGGCGGGUCUCGAAAAGGCCGAGGAUCUCGUCGGAUCGGGAUAAUCGUACGUAGUCGAGGAACUCUUAACGUCGUUUUCGAAACGUAGAUGCAGAUGCUCCGGAUUGGGAGAUAUCACCGACGUCCUGAUAACCAUCCUGGAUUCGUAUUCCGAAUCCUUCGUCGCCGAAUCGGGGCUCUGCUUCUCCUCAUUCGGAUCGUUCGGACAGGGCGUCCUCUCUUUGCAGGAUCGCUUCGACGGUGUCGCCGCGUCCGUCGUCCUGGUAUGCCUGAUGAUCGCGGAGAAUGCCGAGGACGAGCCCUUCUGAUCUCGCUCGAGUCCUAAUCGAGGAACUAUGACGCUGGUGGGCGACGAUAGUAAUGGAGCACUCGAUUUCACCGAUAGCGAUGUCUGCUGUUCGAUUUGAUCGGACUUCUCCGUGGACGAUCGGUGAUGGGCACGCAUGCAAGAUGACUCCUCGUGCUUGUAAAGGUAAGAUUUUAAAGCGAAAGCCUUGCCACAGCGACUGCACACAUGAGGUUUAGUAUUCGAGUGCGUUUGUAUGUGAGCUCGUAAGUUUGAUUUGUCGGCAAAAGCUUUGUUGCAAAUGGUGCACUUGAAGGGCU